GAUGAACGCUAGCGGCAGGCCUAAUACAUGCAAGUCGAGGGGCAGCGGAGGUAGCAAUACUUGCCGGCGACCGGCGCACGGGUGCGUAACACGUAUACAAUCUGCCUUCUACAGGGGGAUAGCCUUUCGAAAGAGAGAUUAAUACCCCAUAAUACAAGAGAUAGCAUUAUUUUUUGUUGAAAGUUCCGACGGUAGAAGAUGAGUAUGCGGGUGAUUAGCUAGUUGGUGAGGUAACGGCUCACCAAGGCUACGAUCACUAGGGGAUCUGAGAGGACUACCCCCCACACUGGUACUGAGACACGGACCAGACUCCUACGGGAGGCAGCAGUAAGGAAUAUCGGACAAUGGAGGCAACUCUGAUCCAGCCAUGCCGCGUGAAGGAUGAAGGCCCUAUGGGUCGUAAACUUCUUUUGUACGAGAGAAAACCUAUUUACGUGUAGAUAGUUGAUAGUAUCGUAAGAAUAAGGAUCGGCUAACUUCGUGCCAGCCGCCGCAGUAAAAC
rnacentral:rRNA from 1 species